CCGGAAUGCAGCAGCACCGACCCAGUGCUCACCGGGUGCUGGGGAU
rnacentral:SRP_RNA from 1 species